AACGAACGCUGGCGGCAUGCCUAACACAUGCAAGUCGAACGAGAUCUUCGGGUCUAGUGGCGCACGGGUGCGUAACGCGUGGGAAUCUGCCCUUUGGUUCGGAAUAACAGUUGGAAACGACUGCUAAUACCGGAUGAUGACGAAAGUCCAAAGAUUUAUCACCAGAGGGUGAGCCCGCGUAGGAUUAGCUAGUUGGUGUGGUAAAGGCGCACCAAGGCGACGAUCCUUAGCUGGUCUGAGAGGAUGAUCAGCCACACUGGGACUGAGACACGGCCCAGACUCCUACGGGAGGCAGCAGUGGGGAAUAUUGGACAAUGGGCGAAAGCCUGAUCCAGCAAUGCCGCGUGAGUGAUGAAGGCCUUAGGGUUGUAAAGCUCUUUUACCCGGGAUGAUAAUGACAGUACCGGGAGAAUAAGCUCCGGCUAACUCCGUGCCAGCCGCCGCAGUAAGAC
rnacentral:rRNA from 1 species